rnacentral:rRNA from 1 species
AGUGAACGCUGGCGGUAGGCCUAACACAUGCAAGUCGAACGGCAGCACAGUAAGAGCCUGCUCUUACGGGUGGCGAGUGGCGGACGGGUGAGGAAUACAUCGGAAUCUACUUUUUCGUGGGGGAUAACGUAGGGAAACUUACGCUAAUACCGCAUACGACCUACGGGUGAAAGCAGGGGAUCUUCGGACCUUGCGCGAUUGAAUGAGCCGAUGUCGGAUUAGCUAGUUGGCGGGGUAAAGGCCCACCAAGGCGACGAUCCGUAGCUGGUCUGAGAGGAUGAUCAGCCACACUGGAACUGAGACACGGUCCAGACUCCUACGGGAGACAGCAGUGGGGAAUAUUGGACAAUGGGCGCAAGCCUGAUCCAGCCAUACCGCGUGGGUGAAGAAGGCCUUCGGGUUGUAAAGCCCUUUUGUUGGGAAAGAAAAGCAGCAGGUUAAUACCCCGCUGUUCUGACGGUACCCAAAGAAUAAGCACCGGCUAACUUCGUG